CGGGCUAUGGCGCAGUCUGGUAGCGCACCUGUUUUGGGUACAGGGGGUCAGAAGUUCGAAUCUUCUUAGCCCGACCA
rnacentral:tRNA from 5 species